GCGUACACAAGAAAUAUAUUCCUCAUUAAGAGCAUUUUGGUGCAUAUCUAUUAGCCUCCUAUGUUUAGUAACAUCGUUUCAGAACAAUGUGUAAAAUAAUGUGCACUUUUCUAAUACACUUUUACGUAUAGAUUAAAUAAUUUAACAUUUUAUCAUAUAAAUGCAGAUAUUCUACUUGGUUGGAUUUGCUUUGUUUUUCUUGAAAACAUUUCAUAGGUUGUGGGUGAUUUAGAUAUUCUACUUGGUUGGAUUUGCUUUGUUUUUUCUUGAAAACAUUUCUGAGGUUGUGGGUGAUUCAGAGCUUGAAACUUUGACUGCAUAAAGUUUACUGCUUCAUGGUGAGUUUGAUCAUUGAGAAAUGGGGAAUAGGCUCCACAAUAUCUCAUAGGGAACAAAGAUAAAUUUCAAGCUGUUGGGUAUGAUUCAAAGACCCAAGGCUAUCAGACUUCCACCAAUGUCGGCGAUAAGAUCGUAAAGUCAUGCGAUUGACAUCUUUCUAUGGUUUUGCUGCAUUAUGUGGUAAAUAAAUUGCAAGAUCUUAUUGUGUCUACUUUCUUUGUUCAGCAUGUAAUUGGAGGAUUUGAGGAAUAUGCUGGCUCAUAGAUUGGUGUCAAAUUUUUGAUAAGUUGACAGGAAAAUGGUGAGAUUCAAUCUCAACUAA